rnacentral:rRNA from 1 species
CGGCGGACGGGUGAGUAACACGUGGGUAACCUGCCCCGGGAAGUGGGGAAUACCUCGGGGAAACCGGUGCUAAUACCGCAUGUCAUCGCUGGUCGCAUGGCCGGUGAGAAAAGCAGCAAUGCACGAGAGGGUGGGCCCGCGGCCUAUCAGUUAGUUGGUGGGGUAACGGCCUACCAAGGCUUUGACGGGUAGCUGGUCUGAGAGGACGACCAGCCACACGGGGACUGAGACACGGCCCCG